ACUGUCGUUAGAAAUGUUCAUGCGAUGCAUCUCUUUGUUGCAUGGCCAAUUGCUGAUUUACUUCCCGUCGAGAUUAUUUCGUUCUAGUGAAAAGGUACAGACUUAAGGCUUACUGAUUAUGACGAGGAUAAAGAGAAGCGUCAUGUAGCCGGCGCCUGCGUAGAACAUAAUACUCAGAUCAUCCCCGAUCUGCUCCAGCGAGUCGCUGUUCGGGACCAGGAUAGGAGGUACCAGGAAGCCGAUAGCCACGCCCACCUAAAACCAGAAACAGUGUUAUAUUCAAAUUAGCGACAACUCUUUAUGAUAUGAUAACACUUCUCAAAUAGUAUCGACACCACAUCCCACACCCACCCCACCACCAUGUUGAGGGCUGGAUGGUCCUGGUCAAUUCAGGAAAUAUUAAUCUCCUGUAGAAGAAGUGAUAUAUUAAAAAUGAAAAUUUAAAAACAAAUAUUUUUUAACAUUCUUUCAUAAACAAUACUUUAUUGCUAAAAGUUCAUAUUUUCCAUUUUAUGUUUGAUCUGCAAUCAAACAAUUUGUUGAUAAUUCUGCAAGCCUAAAGGAAACUGCCAUGAUACAGAUACGAAUACCAGAGCGCUUUAAUAUAGACACUGUAUAACAUAAAUUUCGUUUCACACUGUUCUUUAUUAUGUUUAUUCUUCAAUUAAACUGGUCACUGUCACUUGUUAUUAAGGCAGAAAUUUGUUCACUAGCCGUAGUAUAACAUUCGAUGACAUCUCAUUAAAUUAUUCAUUCUUC
rnacentral:sRNA from 1 species